rnacentral:piRNA from 1 species
ACGGGAUUGUCAUGCAGAUCUGGCUGUG